rnacentral:rRNA from 1 species
AGAGUUUGAUCAUGGCUCAGGAUGAACGCUAGCGACAGGCUUAACACAUGCAAGUCGAGGGGCAGCGAGGGAGUGGCAACACUUCCGUCGGCGACCGGCGCACGGGUGAGUAACGCGUAUGCAACCUGCCCUCCACAGGGGGAUAACCGGGAGAAAUUCCGACUAAUACCGCAUACGUCCUCCGGGGGCAUCCCCGGGGGAUGAAAGAAUUAUCGGUGAAGGAUGGGCAUGCGUGAUAUUAGGUAGUUGGCGGGGCAACGGCCACCAAGCCCACGAUAUCUAGGGGUUCUGAGAGGAAGGUCCCCCANAUUGGUACUGAGACACCGGACCAAACUCCUACGGGAGGCA